AAGAACACUUCUUCCUCCAGAUCUCAGAAGUCCAGAUUCACACUCCCAGUCCUCAGAGGGAAGAGUGAUGUGAGCAACAGAUAAAGAUAGGACCUGACUGAAUGCUGUGUGGGCCUGACACAAGUACACACAGGCUUGUGUGCAACGACCUCUGUGGAUUUAUGUCACAUACAUGAGCCAUUUUGCACAUGAUCUGAAGUCAAAGGCGAGAUGAAUAAUGAGUUCAGAAUGGAGUCAAGGAAACUGCAUGAAUAUUUCUCGGCUACAAGGAAAAUUGUUAGAAAUAAUGAAUCAUUAAAACCGAGCACAGAAGCAACUUGUUAGUUUCCUCUCUCA